rnacentral:rRNA from 1 species
GUAGUUUGACUCGUCGGCUACAGGACGAACGCUGGCGGCUGCCUAACACAUGCAAGUCGAACGAGAAUCUAACGACGGAGUUUUCGGACAACUGAGUUAGAGGAAAGUGGCGGACUGGUGAGUAACGCGUGAGCAACCUGCCUUUCAGAGGGGGACAACAGUUGGAAACGACUGCUAAUACCGCAUAAUAUAUACACAAGGCAUCUUGAGUAUAUCAAAGGAGCAAUCCGCUGAAAGAUGGGCUCGCGUCUGAUUAGAUAGUUGGCGGGGCAACGGCCCACCAAGUCGACGAUCAGUAGCCGGACUGAGAGGUUGAACGGCCACAUUGGGACUGAGAUACGGCCCAGACUCCUACGGGAGGCAGCAGUGGGGAAUAUUGGGCAAUGGACGCAAGUCUGACCCAGCAACGCCGCGUGAAGGAAGAAGGCUUUCGGGUUGUAAACUUCUUUAAGAGGGACGAAGGACGUGACGGUACCUCUUGAAUAAGCCACGGCUAACUACGUGCC